rnacentral:rRNA from 1 species
UACGAAGGGGGCUAGCGUUGUUCGGAAUUACUGGGCGUAAAGGGCUCGUAGGUGGCCAACUAAGUCGGACGUGAAAUCCCUCGGCUUAACCGGGGAACUGCAUCCGAUACUGGAUGGCUUGAGUUCGGGAGAGGGAUGCGGAAUUCCAGGUGUAGCGGUGAAAUGCGUAGAUAUCUGGAGGAACACCGGUGGCGAAGGCGGCAUCCUGGACCGACACUGACGCUGAGGAGCGAAAGCCAGGGGAGCAAACGGG